UACGUAGGGGGCAAGCGUUGUCCGGAUUUAUUGGGCGUAAAAGAGCGUGUAGGCGGCUUUACAGGUCCGUUGUGAAAACUCGAGGCUCAACCUCGAGACGCCGGUGGAAACCGUAAAGCUAGAGUCCGGAAGAGGAGAGUGGAAUUCCUGGUGUAGCGGUGAAAUGCGCAGAUAUCAGGAAGAACACCCGUGGCGAAGGCGGCUCUCUGGGACGGUACUGACGCUGAGACGCGAAAGCGUGGGGAGCGAACAGG
rnacentral:rRNA from 1 species